rnacentral:rRNA from 1 species
UACGGAGGGUGCAAGCGUUGUCCGGAUUCAUUGGGUUUAAAGGGUGCGCAGGUGGUGAGGUAAGUCGGAUGUGAAAUCUCCGAGCUCAACUCGGAAACUGCAUUGGAAACUACCUUGCUCGAGGGUUGGAGGGGGGACUGGAAUGCUUGGUGUAGCAGUGAAAUGCGUAGAUAUCAAGCGGAACACCAGUGGCGAAGGCGAGUCCCUGGACAACUCCUGACACUGAUGCACGAAAGCUAGGGGAGCAAACAGG